rnacentral:lncRNA from 1 species
CUCCUUAAGCUUGCAUGCUUGGUGGUGGUGAUGUUCUGCAUGGUGGCUGGUGCCCCCAAAGCCGAGGCAGCUGUGACAUGCGGUCAGGUGGUGAACAGCCUGGUUCCAUGCCUUAGCUACGUGACGAACGGCGGGGCACUGAACCCCGCUUGCUGCAACGGGGUGAAGACCCUCUACAACCUGGCUCAAACCACCCCUGACCGCCAGAACGUCUGCAACUGCUUGAAGCAAGCAAUCAAUGGAAUACCUUACACCAAUACCAACGCUGGCCUUGCUGCUG